rnacentral:misc_RNA from 1 species
GAUGAAGAACGCAGCGAAAUGCGAUACUUGGUGUGAAUUGCAGAAUCCCGUGAACCAUCGAGUCUUUGAACGCAAGUUGCGCCUCAAGCCAUUAGGUUGAGGGCACGUCUGCCUGGGCGUCACAUAUCGUUGCCUGAUGCCAGUUUCCUCGUGAUGGGUGACUGUGCAGGGCGAAUGAUGGCUUCCCGUGAGCAUUGUUGCCUCAUGGUUGGUUGAAAAUUGAGUCCUUGGUGGGAGCGCCGUGAUAGAUGGUGGUUGAGUGACGAACGAGACCCAAUCAUGUGAGACCCCUACCGAAUUUGGCCUACAUGACCCACAUGCGUCUUUGGAACGCUCAUGACGAGACCUCAGGUCAGGCGGGGCUACCCGCUGAGUUUAAGCAUAUCAAUAAGCGGAGGA